GCCAGGCACGGUGGCUCAUGCCUGUAAUCCCAGUGGCUCUGGAGGUUGAGGCAGGAGGAUUGCAGAUUCAAAGCCAACCUCAGCAAAAGUGAGGAGCUAAACAACUCAGUGAGACCCUGUCUCUA
rnacentral:sRNA from 1 species